GAUGAACGCUGGCGGCGUGCCUAAUACAUGCAAGUCGAGCGGACGGACGAGAAUCUUGCUUCUCUGUUGUUAGCGGCGGACGGGUGAGUAACACGUGGAUAACCUACCUAUAAGACUGGGAUAACUUCGGGAAACCGGAGCUAAUACCGGAUGAUAUUUUGAACCGCAUGGUUCAGAAGUGAAAGACGGUCUUGCUGUCACUUAUAGAUGGAUCCGCGCUGCAUUAGCUAGUUGUUAAGGUAACGGUUUACCAAGGCAACGAUGCAUAGCCGACCUGAGAGGGUGAUCGGCCACGCUGGAACUGAGACACGGUCCAGACUCCUACGGGAGGCAGCAGUAGGGAAUGUGCCGAAAUGGGCGAAAGCCGGACGGAGCAACGCCGCGUGAGUGAUGAAGGUCUUCGGAUCGUAAAUCUCUGCUAUUAGGGAAGAACAUAUGUGUAAGUAACUGUGCACAUCGUGACGGUACCUAAACAGAAAGCCACGGCUAACUACGUG
rnacentral:rRNA from 1 species